GAAUUUGCCUCCAAAUGUGUCUGAAUCUGAAAUUGCGGAGGAAUUUAAAAAGUUUGGUGAAGUCAGUUCUGAGCCUGUGGUAAUGCGGAGCUGCAAGGAUGUCGGUGUCUUUUAUGCAUUUGUCGAAUUUGAAGAUAUAUCUCGUGUUCUCAAUGCAGUCAAGUUCGGUUCUGCACAAGUGCUGGGCGACGGGUAUAUAUUGAAGAGCGGGGACUGAACAGAGAUAUACCAUCCCAAGGAGGAAGUACGCAUUUCUUUCCUGUCUCAUUAUUAUCAAUGUUUAUGACAUGGUCAAUGUAAUACACAUAUGCUAGAUCUAGUGAGAGUAACAAAAGAUGGUGACUUUUUGGUCAAUGUAAUGACUUUUAUGGUUGCAUUUUUGUAACUUAAAACCAUAUCUAACCUGAAAAUACCCAACAGAUUGGGUAGUUUCCCGGGCCUCUGCUUCUCCAUGUUCCUCAGGUGGUUAUGAUGGGGUUGACUGAGAGUACAAGCAGUAUUAAGAAGUGGGCAGAAUUUAUCAGAUUAGGCAUUCUAGAUUCAGUAACAAUGGGAAGGGAGAUGUAAAAAGUUCUGGUUCCAGCAGUUUACACAUUAGACAUUCACCAGCGAUAUAGUAAUGCAAAUCAGUAUAUUUAGAUAUGGUGGCUUCGUUGUUUUAAAGGGGUUUCUUGAAACUUAUAUGAGAUAUUUCUAAUUUAUUAGGAAUGGGUAUCCAAUUUUGA